UAUAUCUGCUAACGUUUGCAACAAAUUUUCAUGACCUAAAAAGAUAAAUGGCGUAACAUUAUUAUUAAAAUUAUUACUGCUGGUUAGUGCUGCUUUAAUGAUAAACAAGAUGACAUACAUCUGAAAUUAUCUAUUUUUUUUAAAAAUCUUAUUUUACUUUUUAUGUUUCAGAAACAACACUUGGUAUUAACUUAAAUUGCCAAGAAAAUAAAGAUUCAGAGUAUGUCCAGGCAGUUAAAAAUGUGUCUGAUGAAUUAACCAAAAGAAUAACAAACGUUAUUAGCUGGUAUGAUUUUACAUUUUUCUUGACCAAAGGAAGAAGUAUCAGGAAAGAUCUGACUUUAUUACAUAGGUUCACUAUGUCUGUUAUUCAAGAAAGAAAGAAGGAUAUGUUGAGCGGUGAAAUUGAAGGAAGAGAUAAGAAGAGGAAACCUUUAAUGGAUCUAUUGCUGCAGCACCACAUCGAAACAAAAGAACUUACAGAAGAAGACAUCAGAGAAGAAGUCGAUACUUUUGCAUUUGAGGUAUAUGGAUGAAUACAACAAUUGUUACUUUUUCUUUCUGCACACACUUAGUUUA